AGAUGCUCUAUGGAGAGCAGCAGACCAAAGCCAGAACGUGGAGCAGGACGCAGUGCUUGCAACGGUAGCCUACGAUGUGCCUGUGUGCUUCUGCUCCUGUAGAAAAGACCCCAGUCUUCUCUCUGAAGGAGGACAACAACAGCCCAGACAUCAUCGCUGGUCCCUGAGCAGCUGGUGACACUGGUCUAGUCCGGGAGCCACGAUAACAAAUAUGCACGGGCACGGAGCUAAGCGUAAGUGUGGAAGAACUCUGAGCACUGCAAGGCAUCCAGCCCGGGUGUAGGUGUCCUGAAACAUCUUCUCGGAGGGCUGAUGGCAGUCAUGGCACAAAAGGGAGUCUGUGGAAAGCGUUAGAGAAAGGACCUUACCUGGACAGGAGGAGCAGCCUGCGUGAGGAGCCGGUAGUCAGGGGAAACUCCCCCUGUCGGGAAUGGUUGAAUGGGAAGGGCCAUGGGAGAAGUAGUCCAGAAGCUAAGAGAGGGCCUGACACCAGCAAUGGACCUGCAGGAGCAAGGACGCCAGCCCAGCAGUUGGGGAUUUGACCAGGAUCAUCCUGACAAUCACAGUUGCCAUCAGGGAGUCACAUGAUGUAAUUUGCACUUCAGGAGGAUCAUUCUGGCUGCUGCUUGGAGGAAGGAUUGGAGGUAAAGAGCAAGGAGGCCUCCUCUGGGGUCCCCAUGGGUGCCGGGUCAUUAGUUUCAAGUGAGAGAUGAUGAUUAGAACGGAGGCAUGUCAGGUGGAACGGAUGGACCUGAGCGCUAUUAAGGAGGCAGAGUCCAUAAGGUGUGACUGAUGGGAGAUCAGUCCUCAGGGAAAAAGAGGCGUCAACCUCAGAUUUGUCUUUGAGCCAAAGCCUGCUGCAGGGGCGGGCGGAAGGGAUCUCAGCGUGUCAGGCUAAAGCAAGGGAACCAAUGAGAGCCAUGAUGAACAACAUCCCUAGUGCAGGGACCCACUAAGGAGAAAAGGAAAACAGACUAACGGACCAAACUUCUACAGAAAGAAAAAUGGCAUUAUAGGAUCCUAGGAAAUAAGAUACACUAUACUCAGACAACUUCAAUUACCUUUUAUUUCAAGAAUGCCAAUGAGAAGGGAGGACCUGCAUUUACCCACUAAAAUAUUACAAUCUGGGCUCACUGAGAUGUCACAGCAUGGCAGCACCUUGUCAGUAUUUUUGGUUCCUAUGUGUGUAGUGCUUUGACCUCACAGAUACUAUCUUAGAGCCUGAUUUCUAUCCUUCCCAUAACUCUAAAGGUAGAAGUUGCUGCUCUCCAAAUAUACAGAAGUGGGAGCAGAGGCUUGGAGAAGUCCAGUGACUUUCCUUUCCAAGUGGCAGAGUUCAGUCUAGAACAUUCCUUCUGUUCAGGGCUGUGCUUUCUGCCCCAGCACCCACCGUUUACCAGGCCAUUAGACCGCACAAAGAGGAAAUCAUUCGGUGUGAAUGCUGAGUGCUUCUGGUCGAAAAGGGCUCUCUCUGCUGCUAUGAGAUGGCCUAUGUGCUUAGAAGUAAUAAGUUAGGGGUGGGGUGUGUGUGGUUAUGCUCAGAGAGCCCCAGCAACGCCUAGUUCCCCUGUAUGAGCUUCAAAAAUGUCACCUAAGCAUCAGUGCUGCCAGAGAGCACACAGAGCUGUGGGGACCUUCCUGGGCACCCUUCAGCCAGGCAUAGACCACAGGAGCUGGGAUCCUCUGGAUCCUUGUACUGUGUAGCAUCUGAGAAGCUGCACUUUGUCUCGCUUCCUGGGCUGUAUCUUGUAGCCAAGUGAACUAAACAUAGAGCGCUUCCUCCCCUUCAUAGAAUUCGUGAGGUUAUAACCACGCUGAACAGAGCGGGCACCCUGACUAGAGAAGGGGAGGGGAGGAGAGAAGGGAGGCAGCCCCUCCUGAAAUUUUCUUUGUCAAGCUCCUUCCUGUGGUGGCCUCAGGCCAUACGACAGCUUCCUGUUUUGGCAGGUACUUUUGGGGUCAGGUUUCAAUUAUAACCAGGAUAGUGGUUCCUAAUCUGAUAAUUUAGGGAAGAAGAUGAAGUUGAAUAUGGUUGUGGAUUAGCUUGAGUAGCAUUUUUUCCCCUAUAAACACACAUGUAUAGGUGCACUGCCCUUCCAGCACAUGCAUCUGUAUGCCUCACAGGCAUUGCUGUGGGUCAGAUAUGCUUUGAAUGUAUUCCCCAAGAGUUCGUGUGUGUUGGAAGCUUGGUUGUUAGGGUGGCAGUGUUAGGAGAGGGUGUGGAACUAUUAAGAGAUGUGACCCAGUGGGAGAUCCCCAAGUAACUAGGGGAGCUGCGCUAGGAAGAGAUUAAGGAAGCUCUCAGGAGACAACAUAGCUACUCAGGAGGCUGAGGCAGGAGGGUUGUAACCUGGAAGCCAACCUGGACAACUUAGUAAGACUCUAUCUCAAAACAAAACAUGCUGGACAUGUUGCAGCCUGGGUUCAAUCUCCAGUGCUAAAGCAAAACAGAACAAAACAAAACAAAAGUAGACCUCAGGGACUCCUUGGGCUCUUGCCAGAGUGAGUUGUUGAGGAGCAGGCUCAGCCUCGGCCCUGGUUUCCCAUUGCACACCUGCUCUCUUUCCCCCACGUGCACUCCCACACUGGGACACUGUCCACUUGUAUGUCCUCACUGGGGCCAAACCAAUAAUGGGUCCUCCACCCUCUGCUUCAUCUUGGACAUCAGCAUUGCGAGCUAAUAAUAAACUCUUUUAUUUACAAAGUCA